ensembl:miRNA Mir7230 microRNA 7230
AGACUGCUGUUUCUCUGAGUGGCUUCUGGGGGCUUGAGUUGAGACUGUCAGUAGGU